GAUGAACGCUGGCGGCGUGCCUAAUACAUGCAAGUCGAGCGAACAGACGAGGAGCUUGCUCCUCUGACGUUAGCGGCGGACGGGUGAGUAACACGUGGAUAACCUACCUAUAAGACUGGGAUAACUUCGGGAAACCGGAGCUAAUACCGGAUAAUAUAUUGAACCGCAUGGUUCAAUAGUGAAAGACGGUUUUGCUGUCACUUAUAGAUGGAUCCGCGCCGCAUUAGCUAGUUGGUAAGGUAACGGCUUACCAAGGCAACGAUGCGUAGCCGACAUGAGAGGGGGAUCGGCCACACUGGAACUGAGACACGGAACAGACACCUACGGGAGGAAGCAGUAGGGAAUCUUCCGCAAUGGGCGAAAGCAUGACGGAGCAACGCCGCGUGAGUGAUGAAGGUGUGAGGAUCGUAAAACUCUGUUAUUAGGGAAGAACAAAUGUGUAAGUAACUAUGCACGGAUUGACGGUAACUAAUCAGAAAGCAACGGCUAACUACGUG
rnacentral:rRNA from 1 species